CAAGGAAUCUUCGGCAAUGGGCGCAAGCCUGACCGAGCAACGCCGCGUGGAGGACGACGGCCUUCGGGUUGUAAACUCCUUUUCUGAGGGAAGAUAUGGACGGUACCUCAGGAAUCAGCCCCGGCUAACUCUGUGCCAGCAGCCGCGGUAAGACAGAGGGGGCAAGCGUUGUCCGGACUUACUGGGCGUACAGCGCGCGCAGGUGGUUUGCUAAGUUCGCGGUGACAGCGUGCGGCUCAACCGCACACGGUCCGUGGAGACUGGUGAACUGGAGGCUAAGAGAGGGAUGUGGAAUACCCGGUGGAGCGGUGAAAUGCGUAGAGAUCGGGUGGAACACCAGAGGCGAAGGCGGCAUCCUGGCUUAGUCCUGACACUGAGGCGCGACAGCGUGGGGAGCAAACGGG
rnacentral:rRNA from 1 species